CCGGGACCUGCCCGUGGCCCGCAGCGAGCCGAACGCGCGUCCCGGCACGGGCACCGGGGCACCGGACAGCGCCGGCACGGACACGGCUCAAGGGCUGCCCGUGGCUCCUCGGCCAGGGGCUGCUCCCGGCCGGCACGCAGGGAUGCUUCAGCCCGGACAGACGCCACCGACAGCCCAGAAGGACCCCGGGGAACGGCUGGCAUUACCUGGGAAUGGAGGCACGGGCCGUUUGCAGAGGGGCUCUGACAGCAAUUCCUGUUUCUGACCUCCCCGAGCUCCCGCACAGCUGCCAGCUAUGUCCCAGCCACCCCAAAUCUCCUCCCUCUUUCCCAGCCUGAGGCCAUCAUCCACCAGCAGCAUUUGAGCCUAGGCAAUCUUCCCUCACUGACACUAAAUGCCAAGCAAUAGGCCUCAGAGAUGCCUUAAAAUCAGAGGUUCGAGUGGGAUGAUGUUUGGAGACUUCCAGGGAGCCAGCUGGAGGUGCAGAAGUGAUGGAAAACUCACCGCUCCUGAGCAGUGUCAGGGCCACCGGGAGGGCGUUCAAACCCAAAAAAUCCCCACAGCCCACAGAGUGAAUGAUCCCAGCAGAGAAACGCAGCGUUGUAAUGAAAAACUUGGAGCUCUGUGGAAAGGGCUCUGACAACACGUGAGAGGAACAGGAACUCACAGCCACCAAAGCCUGACGGGUUCCUGCAGCGAGAGCUCGGCGCGUGUCCGCAGAGGUGAGUGCAGCAUCUGAAAGGAAGAAAACACAGGAGAAAAAUGUGAUUUAUUUUGCUUCAAAGUUAUUUCAAGUUCUUAAAGCCCAACCAACUUUUGCUCUUGAUUUUGGUCGGGUGAAACACGAGCAGUGGGCAGAGCUCAUGCCAUUGAUGUGGAUGUGCCUGAUGCUUUCUGGGGGCAGAAAAAGUAGAUUAAGC
rnacentral:lncRNA from 1 species